rnacentral:lncRNA from 1 species
GUGAAGCUAAUAAAGUCGUGGAUGCAUUAGCCCGAUUAUAAAUUUCUGCUACGUCUACAUGUUGCGUUCAUAACUAUGUUCAUGUAAAGAUAAUAAACUUUCUACAUGAAAAUUAUGUACAAGUUCGAAAUUAUUAAUAAAGUAAGAAAGAAGUUAGAAAAAAAAAAGAUGAUAUUUUAGAAAUAAAAUAAAAAAAAUUAAAAAAUUUUACAUUUUCUAAACAAAAGAAUCAUUAAAUAUUUAUCUUUAACAAAUAAUAACAUAGAUUGUAUAAUAUCAUUAGUCAUAUAAUAUAAAUUUUUAAUAAACUUUACAUUAAAAAUUAAAAAUGUAAUGUAAUUUGGAACCAAAAAAAAAAAAUCAAAACGUCGUGUAUUUAAAAGCAAAUGGAGUAUAAGAUCAUGAAUUAAAAUUUAAAAGUUUAGAAUUUUAAAAAGUUAAAUUUAAA